rnacentral:rRNA from 1 species
UACGAAGGGGGCUAGCGUUGCUCGGAAUCACUGGGCGUAAAGCGCACGUAGGCGGAUCGCUAAGUCAGGGGGUGAAAUCCUGGAGCUCAACUCCAGAACUGCCUUUGAUACUGGCAAUCUCGAGUCCGGGAGAGGUGAGUGGAACUGCGAGUGUAGAGGUGAAAUUCGUAGAUAUUCGCAAGAACACCAGUGGCGAAGGCGGCUCACUGGCCCGGUACUGACGCUGAGGUGCGAAAGCGUGGGGAGCAAACAGG